ensembl:lncRNA
CGAGCUGUCUGUCUGUAGGUGGUGGUAUACGGCUGCCUGUUUCUAUCUAGGUGGUGGUGUAGUUGGAGGGAUGCAGCUGUCUCUGUUUAGGUGAUGGUGUACACCUGUCUGCGUAUAGGUGGUGGUGUAGGUGGUGCUAUACAUCUGUAUGUGUGUAGAUGAUGGUGUAGGUGGUAGGAUAGAGCUGUAUGUGUGUAGGUGAUGCUGUAGGUGGUGCUAUACAGCUGUCUGCGUGUAGGUGGUGGGUGUAGGUGGUGGGUGGGAGACAGUAGUCUGUGUGUAGGUGGUGGUGUAGGUGGUGCUAUAUAGCUGUCUCUCUAUAGGUGAUGGUGGAGGUGGUUCUAUAUAGCUGUCUCUGUGUAGGUGAUGGUGGAGGCGGUGCUAUACAGCUGUCUGUGUGUAGGUGGAGGUGGAGGUGUUGUUGGUGUUAUACAGCUGUAUGGGUGUAAGUGGUGGUGUAGGUGGUGGUAUACAGCUGUCUGUGUGUAGGUGGUGGUGUAGGUGUAGGUGGUGCUAUACAGCUGUCUGUGUGUAGGUGUUGCAGGAUCCAGCCCUGAGCCAUAGCAGGAGUAUAAUAAUCGAUGGCACAGCGCUAUAAACACACCAUAAAAACAUGGAGGAGAAAGAGAGGAACACACGCGGGGAGAGUUAAUAAAAACAAUAUGGAGGAGAACGACAACAACAACAACAACAACAACAACAGCGACGACACCGGGGAUUUAUAGCUGCGGAGGCAGUUUUAGAUUGUUCAAGAGAAGCACGACAAAGUUUAUUAUGGGAUUGUGACGUGGUUCUUCAACCGUCGUGACUUUGAUACGUGGAACUUUGAACGCGCAGCUCCUGCGUUCGACGGGGGAGACAAGGUCUUUGAGUGUGUGUCUGCGUUUGUGUUUCUGUGUGGGAGACGGCACGGUAUGAAGACAUCAAGAGAGAGGGAGCGAGAGAGCGGGGGAGAGGGAGAGCGAGUGAGAGUGAGAGAGAGAUAGGGAGAGAGAAAGAGAGAGAGAGAGUGAGAGGAAGGGAGGGAAAGAGGGAGAGAGAGAGGGAGAGGGGGAGAGAGACUGAGAGAUAGAAAGGGAGUGAGAGAGAGGGUGAGAGUGAGAGAAAGAUAUAGAGAGGGAGAGAGAGACAGAGAGAGGGAGGGAGAGAGAGAUGGGACAGAGAAAGAGCUAGACAGAGCGAGCACUAUAGAGAGGUAAAAAAGGAGAGAGAGUGAAUGGGAGAGGGGAUAUUGACCAAGUAAUGAAAGAAUUCAAGGUCCCAGCCUGUGAGUGACACAAUGGCUCCUUAUCCAUUGAGCUGCCGUGGAACAUAGCCUUAAACAGCCCCAUAUCCCCCCCCUCUUUCUCUCAGCCAAUGAGAGACAACGCUGCCUCCUUCCUGAGGAAGGACUGCUGGCACGCGUAAGCGAAAAACGUUAAUACAGUUUAAGUAGCUCAUUGGUUUGAAGCCAUCCAUUUUUUUCCCGCUGACCAUAUUGUUUUACGAGGUCAGGCAGAGGGCCGCUCGUGCAGCUGAGUGGACGAUGUGCUCGUCGGUGUGUGGAGGCGGCUGGCAGACGGAGGAGUACCACCUGCCAGAGCGAAGCUACACCGGGCGGCGCGGCGGUUGGAGCAACCGGCAGUUGGAGUAACACGGCGGCCAUUUUAAGUAGCAUUUUUGCGUUAAAUAAAAAAAUGAAAUCAAUAAUUUUUUAUGUAUGGUAAUGAUUUCUCACAUGUAUAAUAUCAUGCAUAGAAUUCUG